UCUCAGAUUUCUUUCCUCCAUACAUUUAAUUAAAAAUUAGUUUUUCAUUUUCUCUUUACAGGAAAAACUGUCAGCUACUGCAGAAUAGCUUGGAGAUAGGUAAUUUUCUGAGGAGGCACAAAAUAAAGGCCUGUAUCCCUGAAGUAGAGAAAUGUAUUUCUCUUACAGCUUGCAAGAUUCAGAAUAUACCUGAAGGAUGGCAUUGUGAAGACACUUACACAAUUGUCUGGCAUGAAAGUAAGAGAGUCUUCACCACUUUCUCCCAAGUAAAGCAAUCAAUUUCCACCAUCUUUCUGGAAAUGUCACUACCCUUGCCAGCUGAGAGCAUUCCUCUUGUCAAAAGAAAAAGGGCAGGGUUGUACUUCAUGAAUCAACAUCCACCAUUAUAUUCUAUGAAAUCAUCA
rnacentral:lncRNA from 1 species